CUGUAAGGUAACAAUUGCAGGUUAAAACCAGUGAAUGAUUUAACAUCAUGAAGUCCAUCGUUGCAAGUAAAUGGUUAAAAUGCACGUAUAGUGACAAUUAUUAGCGAAUCUCUUCAGACAAUACAGUAUGGUGGCGAUUAACCUAUAUUAUCACAGCCUUUUGCUUUAUUAAACAUCCUGUGCGUCACUCCCUCUUCCACGCAGAUCUUUCUGCAGAAGCCCUUCCAGUUCUUGGAAGGAGAGAAAGGUGCUGUGAUUUUUAUUUUUAUUUUUUCGUGGUCGUACGUCGUUUUCUAAUAAAUUGCGAACUUAAUGCUUAAUUUAUUCUCUCGUAGCUGGCUACGGACUAUAUAAACAUCAUGGGUGACGGCAAAUGCGAGUUAAUAUCCGGGCACAGUUUCGCAUUGGCAAAAACAUCGACCGCUGGAGCACUGAAACUUUAGAGAAAAACUGUGGUUUGAACUGAGAAUCGGCUAACGUCUGGAGACUCCACAGAGCUUCAUUCAGAACAUGUGAACUCACCCUCGUGGAUGUUUAACGGGAUUCUUUAAGGAUCGAGAUCAUCUCGUCCGCUCCUCUCGCGCAGAAGCUCGUCUGAAUCAACGUCACGCGUCUAUCAAUGUCGUGUGCUUUUUAAUUUUUUAAUUUUGUUUAUUUUUUUAUUUUAUUUUUGUCGCGCUCAGUGUUUUUUUUUUUGAAAUACUCAAAGGAUUUAAUCGGACAUAAACAUUUCCAGUUGCAUGAGGACCAACAUCGUUCUUUCUUAACUAACAGCGGAAAGCUUUGCCCAACACCUGGUUGUCUAAUGGUUAGAUGGAAACCUGGAGAGGCCUACAAGCCACCCACUGUGAAAUUUGGUGGAGGAUCGGUGAUGAGCUGUGGUCCUUCAGAAAGGCUGGAAUUGGGCACAUUGGUCUUUGUGAAGGGCGCAUGAAUCAAGCCAUUUAUAAGGUUGUCCUGGAAUAAAACAUGCUUCUUUCUUCUCUGGCAAUGUUCCCCAACUCUGAGGAUUGUUUUUCCAGCAGCACAAUGCUCCAUGCCACACAGCCAGGUCAUUCAAGGUAUGGAUGGAGGACCACCAGCCCAAUCUCCAGACCUGAACCCCACUGAAAACCUCUGAUGUGAUCAAAAAGAAGAUGGACAGUCACAAGCCAUCAAACAAUGGCCAGCUGCUUGAAUUUUUGCACCAGGAGUGUCAUAAAGUCGCCCAAAAGACUAGUGGAGAGCAUGCAAAGACGCACGAAAGCUGUAAUUCAGAAUCAGGGUUAUUCCACCAAAUAUUGAUUUUUGAACUCCUAAUGUUAAAACACUAGUAAUGUGUUGCUUAAAAAUGAAUAUGAACUUGUUGUCUUUGCAUUAUUUGAGGUCCAAAAAUUAUCUGCAAUUUAUUCUGCAUUUAUUCUACAAUUCAAUGCUCUAACUGACAAUGUUUAUUUGGAAUUUGGGAAAAAUGUUGUCAGUAGUUUAUGGAAUAAAACAAAAAUGCUCAUUUUACCCAAACAUACUUGAUAAACAUAAUUUUGCAGUGGUCUCCUAAUUUUAUUUAUUUUUCUCCAAAACUGCUAUAUAGUGAGUUAUAAAUUAUAUACACUGGACUCCACAGGUUAUCCUCACUAAUUCAAUGCAU
ensembl:lncRNA